AUUGAACGCUGGCGGCAGGCCUAACACAUGCAAGUCGAGCGAGCGGCGGACGGGUGAGUAAUGUAUGGGGACUGCCCGAUAGAGGGGGAUAACUACUGGAAACGGUGGCUAAUCCCGCAUCCUAUCGGAUAACCCAUAUGGGAUUAGCUAGUAGGUGGGGUAAAGGCUCACCUAGGCGACGAUCUCUAGCUGGUCUGAGAGGAUGAUCAGCUACACUGGGACGGAGAAACGGCCCAGACUCCGAAGGAGGCAGCAGGGGGGAAUAUUGAACAAGGGGCGAAAGCCUGAUGCAGCCAUGCCGCGUGUAUGAAGAAGGCCUUAGGGUUGUAAAGUACUUUCAGCGGGGAGGCGUUACCCGCAGAAGAAGCACCGGCUAACGCCGUGCCAGCAGCAGCGGUAAUUC
rnacentral:rRNA from 1 species